CAGCCGCCGCGGGAAUACAGAGGGUGCGAGCGUUAAUCGGAUUUACUGGGCGUAAAGCGUGCGUAGGCGGCUAAUUGAGUCGGAUGUGAAAUCCCCGAGCUUAACUUGGGAAUUGCAUUCGAUACUGGUUAGCUAGAGUGUGGGAGAGGAUGGUAGAAUUCCAGGUGUAGCGGUGAAAUGCGUAGAGAUCUGGAGGAAUACCGAUGGCGAAGGCAGCCAUCUGGCCUAACACUGACGCUGAGGUACGAAAGCAUGGGGAGCAAACAGGAUUAGAUACCCCCGUAGUCCCUGUCUCUUAUAC
rnacentral:rRNA from 1 species